ACUCAAAUGAAUAGACGGGGGCCCGCACAAGCAGCGGAGCGUGUGGUUUAAUUCGAUGCAACGCGAAGAACCUUACCCGGGCUUGACAUGUGAUCGCAGCAGGGGUAACGCCCUGUCCCCUUCGGGGGCGGUCGCACAGGUGCUGCAUGGCUGUCGUCAGCUCGUGCCGUGAGGUGUUGGGUUAAGUCCCCUAACGAGCGCAACCCCCGGGGCCCGUUGUAUUUUUCGGGUCCGACUGCCGCGCGCAACGCGGAGGAAGGUGGGGAUGACGUCAAGUCAGCACGGCCCCGACGCCCGGGGCGACACACACGCUACAAUGGCCGGCACAACGGGUCGCGAAGCCGCGAGGCGGAGCCAAUCCCAGCAAAGCCGGUCGUAGUUCGGAUGGCAGGCUGCAACUCGCCUGCCUGAAGCCGGAGUUGCUAGUAACCGCGGGUCAGCACACCGCGGUGAAUACGUUCCCGGGCCUUGCACACACCGCCCGU
rnacentral:rRNA from 1 species